rnacentral:rRNA from 1 species
UGGGGAAUAUUGGACAAUGGGCGAAAGCCUGAUCCAGCCAUGCCGCGUGUGUGAAGAAGGUCUUCGGAUUGUAAAGCACUUUAAGUUGGGAGGAAGGGCAUUAACCUAAUACGUUAGUGUUUUGACGUUACCGACAGAAUAAGCACCGGCUAACUCUGUGCCAGCAGCCGCGGUAAUACAGAGGGUGCAAGCGUUAAUCGGAAUUACUGGGCGUAAAGCGCGCGUACGUGGUUUGUUAAGUUGGAUGUGAAAUCCCCGGGCUCAACCUGGGAACUGCAUUCAAAACUGACUGACUAGAGUAUGGUAGAGGGUGGUGGAAUUUCCUGUGUAGCGGUGAAAUGCGUAGAUAUAGGAAGGAACACCAGUGGCGAAGGCGACCACCUGGACUAAUACUGACACUGAGGUGCGAAAGCGUGGGGAGCAAACA